rnacentral:rRNA from 1 species
UACAGAGGGUGCAAGCGUUGUUCGGAAUUAUUUGGGCGUAAAGCGCGUGUAGGCUGCGGAGUCAGUCGGGAUGUGAAAUCCCUUGGCUUAACCAAGGAAGUGCAUCCGAUACUGCUUCGCUUGAGUGUCGGAGGGGAUGGCGGAAUUCCCGGUGUAGAGGUGAAAUUCGUAGAUAUCGGGAGGAACACCUGUGGCGAAGGCGGCCAUCUGGACGACAACUGACGCUGAGACGGCGAAAAGCGUGGGUAGCAAACAGGA